rnacentral:rRNA from 1 species
AUUGAACGCUGGCGGCAUGCCUUACACAUGCAAGUCGAACGGUAACGGGCCUUCGGGUGCCGACGAGUGGCGAACGGGUGAGUAAUGCAUCGGGAACGUACCUUUCAGUGGGGGAUAACGUAGCGAAAGUUACGCUAAUACCGCAUAUUCUGUGAGCAGGAAAGCAGGGGAUCGCAAGACCUUGCGCUGAUUGAGCGGCCGAUGUCAGAUUAGCUAGUUGGUGAGGUAAAGGCUCACCAAGGCGACGAUCUGUAGCGGGUCUGAGAGGAUGAUCCGCCACACUGGAACUGAGACACGGUCCAGACUCCUACGGGAGGCAGCAGUGGGGAAUUUUGGACAAUGGGGGCAACCCUGAUCCAGCCAUGCCGCGUGAGUGAAGAAGG